rnacentral:rRNA from 1 species
UGGGGAAUUUUGGACAAUGGGCGCAAGCCUGAUCCAGCCAUUCCGCGUGCAGGACGAAGGCCUUCGGGUUGUAAACUGCUUUUGUACGGAACGAAAAGGCUCUGGCUAAUACCUGGGGCUCAUGACGGUACCGUAAGAAUAAGCACCGGCUAACUACGUGCCAGCAGCCGCGGUAAUACGUAGGGUGCAAGCGUUAAUCGGAAUUACUGGGCGUAAAGCGCGCGCAGGCGGUCUGGUCAGUCGAUGGUGAAAGCCCCACGCUCAACGUGGGAAGGUCCGUCGAGACGGCCAGACUGGAGGCAGGGAGAGGUCGGUGGAAUUCCGGGUGUAGUGGUGAAAUGCGUAGAGAUCCGGAGGAACACCAGAGGCGAAGGCGGCCGACUGGACCUGACCUGACGCUGAGGCGCGAAGGCGUGGGGAGCGAACG